AGUCUGCAACUCGACUACAUGAAGCUGGAAUCGCUAGUAAUCGCGAAUCAGAAUGUCGCGGUGAAUACGUUCCCGGGUCUUGUACACACCGCCCGUCACACCAUGGGAGUCAGUAACGCCCGAAGCCGGUGACCCAACCAAACGGAGGGAGCCGUCGAAGGUGGGACCGAUAACUGGGGUGAAGUCGUAACAAGGUAGC
rnacentral:rRNA from 1 species